GAAACUACAAUGCAGAAGAAAAAUGCUGCUUUUAGCCAUCUUAAUUUAAAUUAAACAAGCACAGAAAGUUUCUUAACUUUGUCAAAUCUUUAACAACUUUCCCUUUUGUUAAUAAUGUAAGUUUAACACAGUACUGUACUGAAUUUGCUUUUUUUUGUGUGUGUCUGCUCUUGCCUGAUUCCAUAUUUCUGUUUCCAAAUGAGGUGUGUGGUUGACUCGUUAGUCUGUAACUCUGAGAUUCUACUGUACGUAGUCUUAGGUGGCUAAGCCAGGCUAUUAUUAGACAGAAGGAAAAAGAGAGGAAUAGGAAAGAGAUUAAAUAAGGUGAGGAAGGAAAAGGACAUGUGGGAGGAGAAACAGUCUUCCAGGUGAUGUUUUGAGAUUUAGCCAUAGCCAGUGCAGGAGGCAAUGUCAUCUCAGUCCCACUUUCUGUCCCAGCCUGGUCAGGACAUAUCUCAGGAUCAGGAUGCUGAAGGCCUCAACGGUGUUACAGUAGAUCCUAGGAGAUGGUGGGAGUGGCAGCCAUCAUGGUAAAGCUUGUGGCAGUGGUUGUUGGCAGACAGCUGCUACUUUGCCUUAUACAGAUGAAAGCUGACAGCUGAAUGAAAAUAAAUGGACUCCUGCUGCAUUUGUAUCUAAGCACAGUUUAAAAGGUGGACUUUAAAAACAAAUAUUUUGAAAAGCAACCAUAUUCUAAAAAAGAAGGCAUCUGUGAUAUCAUACAAUCUCAUUUGCCCAAACUGACAUCAGCAAAAAAUUGUCUUCACAUGUAUCAGAAUAACCUAUCCUCCAAAAUGUUAUGGGGUGAGCUUAAUUAAUUCAUAUGUAUUAUAAUUGUGCAAACCUGUCACAUUAUGUUUUUAAAGGAUGUUUAUGUCUGUUUUGCUUUGUGAUUCUUAAGGCUCGUCCUGAGCUACAUUUGACCCUUACAUUGUAAUAAAUUAAACAAAAAAUGAUAUAAUUUAAGUUACUUACUAGUAAUUUGUAAUAAAGUAUCUGUUAAGUGGGGAGUGAAAACAUGUAAAGAUGCUGACGUUAAACAUUUUAGAACUUUGAAAGUAUAUAACCCAAAAGGGUCGGUCAAGAAGAUUAAGGCAAAAGCAUACUAGUGUACACUGAUGAGAUAAAUUUGUAUAUUAAAUCAGUAAUGCUGGGGUUCUUGUAUGAAAUUCAGUAAAAAUAGAGAAUUUUAUUUCUAGAUCUCUUACCAGCUCCAUAACUAAGAAUACAUCAGCCCUUUUUACACCACGGCAUCACUUCCAGCAAAGAUGCUGGACAUCAUGAAUUAAAAUCCUUGGGACCUCCUUUUUGAUUAAUUUUGCUGGGCCUCAUGCUACAUAUGUGUCAGCCAUCCCUAUCUUUCUGUUGCUUCCAUGCAUACAUGCACAGCUUUCCCUGCCAAAAAUAAAUCUCCUAAUCAACACAUA